GAAGCGGGGCUGGAUUUUCGUCCAACUUCUGGUAUUAAGGUCCUUCGCGGGCCGACCCGGGUUGAAGACAUUGUCAGGGGGGGAGUUUGGCUGGGGCGGCACAUCUGUUAAACCAUAACGCAGGUGUCCUAAGGGGGGCUCAUGGAGAACAGAAAUCCAACGCGAGAGGAUGCCAGGCGCCCGCCGGAGGAUACAACCAAAAAAACUCUUGUGUUUUCCAAUGCAUGUCUGAGUGGAUUUUUGCAAAUCAAAAUGAAUCAAAACUUUCAACAACGGAUCUCUUGGUUCUGGCAUCGAUGAAGAACGCAGCGAAAUGCGAUAAGUAAUGUGAAUUGCAGAAUUCAGUGAAUCAUCGAAUCUUUGAACGCACAUUGCGCCCGCCAGUAUUCUGGCGGGCAUGUUCGGUAAGCGUUGGAUUGUUCACCCACUAAUAGGGAACGUGAGCUGGGUUUAGACCGUCGUGAGACAGGUUAGUUUUCCCCUACUGAUGACCUCGCCGCAAUGGUAAUUCAGCUUAGUACGAGAGGAACCGCUGAUUCAGAUAAUUGGUUUUUGCGGCUGUCCGACCGGGCAGUGCCGCGAAGCUACCAUCUGCUGGAUAAUGGCUGAACGCCUCUAAGUCAGAAUCCAUGCCAGAACGCGGCGAUACCGCCCGCACGU
rnacentral:ncRNA from 1 species